UUUGUUCAAUUUCUGUUAGCACAACUACCACCACAAGCAAAGAGAGGUUUGGGCUCAAGAGAAAAACAGGGACAAGUCUUGUGUAUUUGAUCAACAAAGAGAGGAAACAUGAAUUCAGAGGAAGCUGCACAAAUUCCUAGAA